CCAUCAUGCUCUGCACAUAGGUGGGAACCGCGCGAGUUUACUUGCUGCCAAGUGUGAACUGCGAAUUUUAUUCGUUCGUUAUCCUUAUAAUGAUACGCUCUGUGGAUUAUGAUAGCAGAAUUGGGCGCAGAAAUUCAUCAAGAGAAAAUGUAGUAAUGUAUCGCAGGUACUGGAGUCUCUUAAAUUCAUAAAACGCUGAAGAGGAAUAGUAUGUUAUGUUAUGUAAACCGAAGAUAGACUUCAUUGCUAGAUUUCAUCCAAGUUCCUCAGCACUCGGAAAAAUAAUCAUACACAGUCGUCUUCAUCAGUAGUUUACUAAUAUAAGGAUGAGGUCACUGGUCCCUAUUCGUGUCAACCCUAGCAAUAACCCACAACAGUCGACUACUUGCCAUGUAAGU